rnacentral:lncRNA from 1 species
AAAUCAAAAUCAAAAUCAAAAGAAAAAAAAAACAAAAGAAAGAUAGCACCCUCAAAGUCCCAAGUUGACUAAUGCUGAAUUCGACGGAAAGAACGAAAAGAUCAACUGCCAUGUGUCAUGGUCAAGUUAUAUCAGCAGAGAGUGAAAAAGCAACCGACAAGAAGGUCAAACCUCGUGUGUUCCAAGGGACCUUGUGCUCAAGAAGGUCUUGUCUUUCGUGCUCGAUUCCAGGGGCAAGUGAACCCCCAAGCUAUGAACGUCCGUACGUUGUCAAGAGAGCCUCUUCAGGCAGUGUUUCGACACUUACAACAAUGGAUGGAAGUUCACUCGUCCUGUGAACUCUGAUGCAGUCAAGAAAUACUUCGCCUAAACAAAAAAAAAAGCAAAAGCUCGAUAAAACGAACACCCCAAAGGGCGACUUAGGCAAAAAGGAGCGUCUCGGUGGAUUGAAAACCCGAAAGGGCGAUCCAGGCAAAAGUUAGAGACAUUGAAAAAAAAAAGAGAAUUCGCAUCCCGCUAGAUUGAGCACCUCACACUAGGGCAAUCUAGGCAAAAAUUAGGGAUUUGGCAAGUAACUGCAUCUUGACAAGACUGUGCUCUAUAUCUGUCAUCCGUCAGGGAUUCUCGAUUCGUCGUCGACUGAAGCUUUGAAUACAUCGAAAAUUCAGAAUGGUAGAGGAAAGGUCAUUAUGUUCA